CCAAAGUGCUGGGAUUACAGGCGUGAGCCACCACACCUGGCCUCAUCUGUAUUUUUAAAUUACAGAAUUAACCACUAGGGGAGCUAAAGCAAACACGGUUCCUGGGGGUGUGCACGGAGACAGAAGACUGCAGUUUGCAGCCUGGGGUGGAGAAAUGAGCUGAACUUGCUCAUUAUUUUCAAACGUGAAAGCCUGAAUAGAGGAGCCCCUUUCUCCAAAGAGGUGCAGGCGUGGAUGCCCUUGAUGAUGUCAAAUGCUCAUUUUCAUGCUUUCCUGGGGCUAAUCAGAGACCCAAGCAGGUUCAUCAUGCAAAUUAGAAGGAGGUGAGCCAAACGCCACAAAGGUAAGUGAGGGAGCAGUUUUGUUUGCAGAGCACAAGCUUUUUGUGGGAACUGCAAAGAUUUCUUUCAAACCAUCUCCAUGUGCCUUUGGGGAGGGAGAGGUGAGGAUCUUUGUCUCUAAGGGGCACUGCUGGGCACAACCUUCUAGAUCUCUUAUUGUUCUGGAGCUGGGUUAAGAUCUUACCUAGAGCUGAGAUUCAAGAGUGCCCUAUCUGCCUAACCUCCAAGAGCCCUCCCUGUCCUCAUCCCUGUUGGGGUCUCUUGGCAACUAACCAGGACCUUCUCAAGUCUGGCUCAUACUUGGUGCCUUGCUCCUUGCUCUUCUGACCUGUGGACUUGUCAAUAAAUCAUCCUCAGUGUCCAGAUAUUUCCCCAUUCAGAAAGGUCUUCCUGAUCCCCUCUGGGGGUCCCAGCUAAGAGCUAGGAAACACACACCCACCCCAAAACUCCCUCUCAGAGUCUCACUGAUGGCAGGGUGGUGAGGGGGAGGUAGGCAGACAAUAAAGCAGUUACGAUACCAUAUGAUGUAGCUGUGGUGGGAGUGAGGGAGCUGGGGGUGUGAGCGCACAACUGACCCAGCAAGGGUAGAGGGACAGUCAGAAGGAUAAACAAAAUGACUCUUUUUUUGGAGACAGAAUCUUACUCUGUCAUCCAGCCUGGAGUGCAGUGGGGUGAUCUCGGCUCACUGCAACCUCAGCCUCCCAGGUUCAAGUGACUUUCCUGCCUCAGCCUCCCAAGUUGCUGAUAUUACAGGCAUGUGCAACCAUGCCCAGCUAACUUUUUUGUAGUUUUAGUAGAGACGGAGUUUCGCCAUGUUGGCCAGGCUGUUCUCGAACUCCUGACCUCAAGUGAUCUGCCUACCUCGGCCUCCCAAAGUGCUGGGAUUCUAGGCAUGAGCCACCAUGCCUGGCCUAAACGAAAUGACUUUUCGUUUACAUUUCUGAAGGAUGAGGAAUGAUUAGUAUGUGAGGUGAUGGAUAUGUUAAUUAGCUUGAUUCAAUCAUCCCCCAAUGUAUACAUACAUCAAAACAUCAUGUUGUAUGCCAUAAAUAUAUACAAUUUUUCAUUUUUCAGUUGAAAAAAUAAAUAAAAGAAGAGGAAGGAGGAAGAUGUGCCAGGCAGAGGGGAUAGCAUUUGCAAAGAUUGGGAUGGAGAUGUGCAAUCCAAGACUCAGAGAAGCUGGAGAAUUUUCCUAAUGUCACACAGCAAAGGAAUGGAAGAAUACACGAUCCUCUCCUCCCAACAUGUCACCCAGCAGAACAAGAGAAGGAAUCACAAUCGGUCCAUGACAGUCACGGUCAUCUCAUUCCUCUUGCCAGUGGCAGGUGUAUGUGUGAGUUUGCAGCUCAAUCCUGGCCAAGGGGAUCCGAGGACUGCUGAAGAGGCAUGUCUGCACAUGCCGCCUAGAACAUCUCCAGCCAUCAUGUGAUCCCUCUGGGAGGCAUUCCCAACUCUCUGAGAGAAGCGGAACAGAAAGAUGGAAAGAAAGCGCCUAGCUCCAGGAUGAAGACAUUGAGCCGCUGAAUUAACCAUCUUUGUGUUGCUCUAACCUUCAGAGUUCACCUUAACAUGAGAAAAUAAAACCCUUAUUGCUUAG